rnacentral:rRNA from 1 species
CAGUUCGGAUUGUAGUCUGCAACCCGACUACAUGAAGCCGGAAUCGCUAGUAAUCGCGAAUCAGAAUGUCGCGGUGAAUACGUUCCCGGGUCUUGUACACACCGCCCGUCACACCAUGGGAGCCGGAAAUGCCCGAAGUCAGUGGCCCAACCUUAAAGGAGGGAGCUGCCGAAGGUGGAGCUGGUAACUGGGGUGAAGUCGUAACAAGGUACC